GCAAACUAAACCAAAUUAGCCUCAAGCUAUUUUGGUUAUGGGGAGUCCAGUUUUAAGCACAGUUCAGCAUAUAGCCUGCCAAUUUGAUAUUCAUACUCUUAGGUGCAAAAUUCAACAUACAGAAAGAAGGGAUCAUCAUGAUCACUAAGUAUUGUUCUUUCAAGAAUGAAAGUUAAGUGCAGCACCUUUUUUUACGGAUUGUAUUUUGAUGGAUUGUGG
rnacentral:misc_RNA from 1 species